UACGAGGGGGGCGAGCGUUGUUCGGAAUUAUUGGGCGUAAAGGGUGCGUAGGCGGUUUGGUAAGUCUUUUGUGAAAUCUCUGGGCUCAACUCAGAGUCUGCAAGGGAAACUGCCGGGCUGGAGUGUGGGAGAGGUGAGUGGAAUUUCCGGUGUAGCGGUGAAAUGCGUAGAUAUCGUAAGGAAGACCAGUGGCGAAGGCGGGUCUCUGGACAGUUCCUGACGCUGAGGCACGAAGGCCAGGGGAGCAAACGGG
rnacentral:rRNA from 1 species